CAAGUGUUCAUUGUUUGUGCAACGGGGAAAAGACGUGUGCUUCACUAUUUUGCGUAUGUUCAGUGAUAAAUAAUUAGUGAGGUGUGUGUGUAAUAGGUGUCCUGUGUGCAGGAAGUGCUUAUUAAGUUUAUAGUGAAGUGAAAGUAAAAUGUGAAGUGUAGUGCCACGGAUAACGUCAUAUUACCGCCACUUGCAGGUUAACGGCACUGGGGCGGUCGUACUGCCACCAAAUAUUAAUGUAAUGGUGGAGGAGGAAGAUGCGGGUGAAGAAAUCGAUGCGGGGCCUGCUGGAGACACAAUCUCGACUGCUGAUAAGGUCGAGUUUAAUGCCGGUGUGCACUGAUGGGUGACAAGCGCCUUCGUGUCAUCGGCAGCACUGAAGUACAUCUCUCAUCGGACCGACUGGGUUCCUGACCAUCCAAGCUCGCGUAAUUGGCAGCACCUCCCCACCACCCGAUCUCUCUGGGGGCACAAAUAUCGCUACUUCUGAUUCUCAAGUGCAACAACUGCUUGCAGCUUCACUCGUCCAUGGCUAUUCUGUUCGUGUCAAGGCCAAUCGAAAGCUGAAUUCUUCGCGUGGUGUUAUGUACACUUAGCUGCUCAAUGGUCUGACCGAGACAGAAAUUCAAACCUAUCUCUCUGGUCAGGGGCAUCACUGCAGUCUUAUCAGAUGUGAUUGACGUCGAAUCACUCUGAAGUCUCAACCCAGUGGCUGCUGAAGAUGAUCCCUGGCAAAUGACUGCCCAGAAGCAGAUACGUGUGCCUGACGAGAAUAUCAGUUUUAAGACACCAACAUCAACCGCUGGUGCAUCGGUGCUUAUAUUGUAAUUUGGGAUUGAAUUCUGUCACACACUUUCCCCAGCCAGUGCCACACACCUCCGUCACUCGUGCUGAAUACUCUUUUAAUGCAUGUUGAUUGUGGGCUGCUGGAUGUAUAUUUUGGCAAUGAGCACAACAAACAUUUUAUAUAGUAAUUGGGAAAUGGCGGUCUAAUGACGACUACACAGCGUUGCCCCCUUACUGGCAGUCGUGGCCUUAGAGUUGGUUAGCCCGAAUGUUGGUAGUGGCUGCACCUGCACUAGUGGCCGGAUCGUCAUGAGCAGCAACACCAUCUGCAGACCCCAGCCAUCGAUGUGGGAUCAAUGUAGUAAUAGUGGCUCUCUGCCAGCAGCAGCCCAACCACCUGUUCUGACAGUGAAGAUCAGGAUGUACAGGGGCUCUACCAGAUAGUACGGUGUCACUGUCACUGCAGAACCCACCACCACCACCACCACCACCACCACCACCACCAUGGUGGUAUAUGUUACCCGAAGAAUAUAAAGAUGAUGAAGGUGAUGAUAAUGAGGGUGUAAUUUUCUUAUACAAAUUAAUAAAUACCAAUUAAGAGGAC